UACGUAGGGUGCUAGCGUUGUCCGGAUUUAUUGGGCGUAAAGGGCUCGUAGGCGGCGUGUCGCGUCGGGAGUGAAAGCCCGCUGCUUAACGGCGGGUUGGCUUCCGGUACGGGCAUCGCUGGAGUGCGGCAGGGGAGACUGGAAUUCCUGGUGUAGCGGUGGAAUGCGCAGAUAUCGUCUGGAACGCCAAAGGUGAAAACAGCUCGCUGGGGUUGUGCUGACGCUGAGACACGAAAGCCAGGGGAGCGAACGGG
rnacentral:rRNA from 1 species